rnacentral:rRNA from 1 species
AGUGAACGCUGGCGGUAGGCCUAACACAUGCAAGUCGAACGGCAGCACUGUAAGAGCUUGCUCUUACGGGUGGCGAGUGGCGGACGGGUGAGGAAUACAUCGGAAUCUACUUUUUCGUGGGGGAUAACGUAGGGAAACUUACGCUAAUACCGCAUACGACCUACGGGUGAAAGCAGGGGAUCUUCGGACCUUGCGCGAUUGAAUGAGCCGAUGUCGGAUUAGCUAGUUGGCGGGGUAAAGGCCCACCAAGGCGACGAUCCGUAGCUGGUCUGAGAGGAUGAUCAGCCACACUGGAACUGAGAAACGGGCCAGACUCCUACGGGAGGCAGCAGUGGGGAAUAUUGGACAAUGGGCGCAAGCCUGAUCCAGCCAUACCGCGUGGGUGAAGAAGGCCUUCGGGUUGUAAAGCCCUUUUGUUGGGAAAGAAAAGCAGCAGGUUAAUACCCCGCUGUUCUGACGGUACCCAAAGAAUAAGCACCGGCUAACUUCGUG